UACAGAGGGGGCAAGCGUUAUUCGGAAUUAUGGGGCGUACAGGGCGCGUAGGCGGUAUGGCAAGUGGAAGGUGAAAUCCCUCGGCUUAACCGAGGAACUGCCCUCCAAACUGCUUUACUUGAGGCCGGGAGAGGUGAGUGGAAUUCCUGGUGUAGCGGUGAAAUGCGCAGAUAUCAGGAGGAACACCGGUGGCGAAGGCGGUUCUCUGGGCAUUACCUGACGCUGAGGAGCGAAAGUGUGGGGAGCGAACAGG
rnacentral:rRNA from 1 species